rnacentral:tRNA from 1 species
GCUUAGGUAGCUCCAAAUGGUAGAGCGGCAGGUUGAAGCCCUGCGCGUUGUUGGUUCGACCCCGACCCUAAGCACCA